GAUGAAGAACGCAGCGAAAUGCGAUACUUGGUGUGAAUUGCAGAAUCCCGUGAACCAUCGAGUCUUUGAACGCAAGUUGCGCCCGAAGCCACUAGGCCGAGGGCACGCCUGCCUGGGCGUCACACGCCGUUGCCCCCCCAUCUACUCCUUCGGGAUUGCGGGGGGGCGAAUGAUGGCCUCCCGUGCGCCUAGCCGCGCGGUUGGCAUAAAUACCAAGUCCUCGGCGACGCACGCCACGACAAUCGGUGGUUGCGAAACCUCGGUUGCCCGUCGUGUGCGUUCGUCGCGCAUCGAGGGCUCGAAAAAAUGCUCGGCUCCGGCUGGGCUUUCAACGCGACCCCAGGUCAGGCGGGGUUACCCGCUGAAUUUAAGCAUAUCAAUAAGCGGAGGA
rnacentral:misc_RNA from 1 species